GCCCUUUUCAGCCAGACUCCCUCCACCGCAAACCACCAACACCGAAAGAUAGCCCACUGUAGAAAACUCCUCCGCCUUGGUCACGUAAACAUACCCCAAGCCGGCAGCACACGUACCCGUCACCAACGCGGUUCUGCAACAUUUAAAGAGUACUUACUGGAGCCACUCUGUUUCUGCUGUCUAUUUCUCUCUACCAUUGCACCACCACCAAGUGUCGAGAACAACCACCUGCUUAGUGGACCAAAACUCCUCUGUUUUGGGUCCCAAAAACAGAGCAAAUGGUUGCUCCUCCAAGCACGACAACUUUUGAGCUUUGACCAACCCUUUCGGACGUCUCCUUCGCGGCGCAAAGGGAAGCCAUGGUCCAACAUCUCAGCCACGCCUAGCCACGCCACCGUCGAUAGCCACCCAGGCCGUCGCCGCCCGUAACUCUCUCGCCACCUGCAUCUCCACACCGCACGCAACUCCUCCAUUCAUGUGCGUCCAGCCAACCUGCUCCACCCACGACCACCGCAUCUGCCUCUAGGUAAACUCUGCAUCUCGACGUGAGCUUCGUUCCCCUUUCGGUCUCCUUUCUUUAUUUUUGUUUUGUUUUCCUUGUUCCUUCAUAAACAACGUUUAUGCCUUUUUGACUCUAGUCAUAAUAUCCCUAGUAUUUACGAAAAUGCCAUCAAGCCUUUGGACAUUGAUU